AGCCACCUGCCAACAGCCACAUGAGCUUAGUAGCAGAUUCUUCCCCAGUCGAGCCUCCAAAUGAAACCACAGCCCUGGCUGACACCUUGACUGCAGCCUGAGGAGGAACCCUGAGCCAAGUCACUCAGAGUCUGCCAAAUAAUGGCUGAGCCCAUGGACUCUCGGAGAUGUCCCAGCUGGCAGAGAGGCCUUCUCAUGCUCAAAGAACCUAGUGGACACCCCCGCUCACCCUGGCCUGCAGCCCCAGCACCCUCCAAAGAGUCUGGUGGC